UGGCCUGAGUGGCACUGUGAUCCUGCACGCCUCUUCCCACGUUGUCUUUCCACUUACCUCCAUUUCUGGAUUUGUUCUAGGCCCUCCAGUCUUGCGUCAUUAAAACGUGCAGCUCUAAACAGAGGAUUCCAGAGAGCCUAAGUACAGUCACUCGAUUUUAACUGGUUCUGCUUUGCUUUUCAUUGUAUUUAUUUGGGAGCGCAGCUAAUUGGAUCAUUUGUUUAUACUCUAUCCCAGAGAGUCAGUGACAGAGGGAAGAAACAAAAUCUUAUCAAAGAAAUUGCUUUCUGUUUGUAAAAAUAAGACUAAACAUAGUAAUAAUACCUUCUACUGAAAUCACAGCUAAUUAGGCCCCGCAUCUGACUAGAGGGUUAAAAAGUGUCAUAGAUUUACCUCUCUAAGUAAUAUGCUUACAACAGUUCCAUGAAAAAUUAAGAAAGGAUUAACAUCCUUCUUCAAUGGGGAUGCUUCGAAAAGCAUUACGCUCGCACUUUGUUAUAACAAUUAUUUUUCAUUCACGUUCUGUGCCUCCUAUUUUGAGCCUAUUCAUUUUUCCUCUAAUUUUAAGAAUAAAUAAAGCAAAAUGGAAGCUCGUGUUAUUACUUAGUAUGAAAACACAGAACCUAAUUAUAGCUAAUGAGUGUAAUAAACGCCGGGCUGCACCUCCCCUUGCUUGUGUGUGUUUCCUAUACAGAAGGUAACACGGGCUGAGUAACGAGGACGCCAAGUUACAGAUGGGGUUGAGGAAUGCUAUUUGACAGGCGAUUAGAGUCAUCUGUCAGAAAUGAUGACUUAAUCACCAGAGCAGACUCUAGCUCCCCUCC
rnacentral:lncRNA from 1 species